rnacentral:rRNA from 1 species
UACGUAGGGGGCGAGCGUUGUCCGGAAUUACUGGGCGUAAAGAGCGUGUAGGCGGUUUGUUAAGUCAGGUGUGAAACCUCCGGGCCUAACCCGGAGCAUGCACAUGAAACUGGCAGACUUGAGAGCAGGAGAGGAAAGUGGAAUUCCUAGUGUAGCGGUGAAAUGCGUAGAUAUUAGGAGGAACACCAGUGGCGAAGGCGGCUUUCUGGCCUGCGACUGACGCUGAGACGCGAAAGCCAGGGGAGCGAACGGG